rnacentral:snRNA from 1 species
AUCGCUUCUCGGCCUUUUGGCUAAGAUCAAGUGUAGAGAGUUGCACCGAGCAGUUUUUUUUGUUUUUUGUUUUUUGUUUUUUUUUGUGGUACGCGGGCCUCUCACUGUUGUGGCCUCUCCUGUUGCGGAGCACAGGCUCCGGAUGCACAGGCUCAGCG